UCUCUCUCUGUCUGUCUUUCUUUUCCCUUCUUACUCUCACAUGACACUCUUUAUAUUUGUCUGGUUUUGUUAAAAAGGCUGUUUGUUUUGUCUUCUUCAUUGCAUCAAGUAUCAAACACCAUCAUAGGUUCAGGGAAUCUCAUUCACUGGGUCUCUUUCAUUCAUUUUUGGGCAUUUGCACUCUUUCUUUUUAUUCAUUACUAGUAUUCAUUCAAUAGAUGUUGUUGUCCAGUUUUCUGUUUCACCGGCAACAAGACUUCUCUUUUGACCUGCCCUGACAGAAACUCAUUUUUCAAUAAGUAAACAGUGGACAUUCACUUCUAUUGUUUGCUGUUGUUCUCCUCAUAUCUCUUUGUGAGGAUAUCUAACUUUUGAGGAAAUCCUGUACAAUGUCAGCUUGAUGAUUCGCUUCUACUUUUGCAUGUGUUACGAACGCCUCUGAUUUUGACCCUGGAGCUGGAUGUUUUUUAUACUGGUAUCUAUGCCGAUCUGUCGUUUUAUGACUUAGCAAGAUGAAUGACUAUAAUGCGCAGUACGAGGUCCCGCCGAUGGCCGCUUCGUACCUUCGUGCACAAAAUAUCCCCACGUUCCCAUUGUCUUCUCCUAUAAAAGAAGAAAUCUACACCCCUUUCGAAUCACCCGACAGUUCGCAAUUGGCAGCGGCAGCACCAGCACAGGACAAAGAAAACCCUUCUUCCUGGUCCGAGGACUAUUUUACUCUGGGACAAACUCGUUUUGAAGCCAGCAAUGCGAAACGGUUUGUUGGCCAAACGGAGGAUAAAGAGAAGCUUCUUGGCGAAAACUCUCAAGCCCCCCGUCCCAGCCGUUGGGAUUCCAUUAAACGUCCCGGUCGAACUAUCAUGAAACGAAACCCUAAGGAGGCCGCAACGAACAAGAAAACGCGCCCUGGGCUCAACCUCGUCACGAACUUUUCCAAUGAUACGAAGUAUAGACGGGAUGCGGUGUCGAAGCGUCGGCAGUCGGCUGGUGGGAGAGGAUAUAUUGACCUGAAUGACCUGAGGUUUCUCUCGAAGGGGAAAGAAACUUCUGCUAGGCCAGCACCUGCGAACAGACUGCUGCCGGAACGGAAACUGUCGUCAACAAGGGGUUAUGGGGAGAUCAAAGACGAUGUUGAAGAUACCUCACAGGGCGUGCAGGCCACUUCCUUUGUUAAGCAAAUGAAGAAAUCUCCCCUGGAUGCCUUGCGGGUUUCUCCUAGCAAAACGCAGGAUUUAUCGCCCUCCGACCGCCCUAUUAUGAUUGGACUGAGUGUUCCAUACCGCGACGCCGCUAGCCCGGGAAAAACAAAAAAGCUCGCGGGUGACAGCACUCCGGCUAAGAACAACGUUGGGACCCCAAACAGCCAAAGAAGCACAAAUACUACGCCGAUUACCCCGACCAUCAUCAUCACGCCCGCGAGAGAGGAUAAUCCUUGGGAUACCUUUAGCAG
rnacentral:sRNA from 2 species